CUGAUGUUUCUUUUAAUUACAGAUCAGACGUGCUUUGACCUCCAUGGUGUCCUGUCCUGGGGUGAACUGGACGGCAUUUGGGAUACGGACAUGAUGGUGGUUCCAUCGCUCUCAGAGUCUCCUCUUGUCAUUCCUGUCCUGAGAUAUUUGGUGCUGUUUGCUGGGGUCCCCAAAGCAGUGGGGGUGAUGAAGGGACUCUCUCUCCUGGUUGGAUUCAGACACAUGCCAGCUUCCUACAGCCCAGGAGUGCCGCCCUGACAUCUCACGGACCGCGGCGGGCGCGGGGAAACGCUGGUGGUGCCGACUUACACCGGCGAGCGGCAACGAGAUGGAUCUACCGGCUUGGGAAGGAACCUCAUCACUUUGGAGACCUGGUCAACAAGCCCAUCUCAUCCCACUACGAUUACAAGGACCUCGGGAGGGUGCGGGCGGGUGGCGUG